rnacentral:rRNA from 1 species
GUCCAGCAGCCGCGGUAAUACCGGCCGCCCGAGUGAUGGCCGAUAUUAUUGGGCCUAAAGCGUCCGUAGCUGGCCGAACAAGUCCGUCGGGAAAUCCACGUGCUUAACACGUGGGCGACCGGCGGAAACUGUUCGGCUUGGGGCCGGAGGACCCGAGGGGUACGUCCGGGGUAGGAGUGAAAUCCUGUAAUCCUGGACGGACCGCCGGUGGCGAGAGCGCCUCGGGAAGACGGACCCGACAGUGAGGGACGAAAGCUGGGAGCUCGAACCGGAUUAGAAACCCUAGUAGCC